UGGGGAAUUUUGGACAAUGGGGGAAACCCUGAUCCAGCCAUCCCGCGUGUGCGAUGAAGGCCUUCGGGUUGUAAAGCACUUUUGGCAGGAAAGAAACGUCAUGGGUUAAUACCCCGUGAAACUGCCGGUCCCUGCAGAAUAAGCACCGGCUAACUACGUGCCAGCAGCCGCGGUAAUACGUAGGGUGCAAGCGUUAAUCGGAAUUACUGGGCGUAAAGCGUGCGCAGGCGGUUCGGAAAGAAAGAUGUGAAAUCCCAGAGCUCAACUUUGGAACUGCAUUUUUAACUACCGGGCUAGAGUGUGUCAGAGGGAGGUGGAAUUCCGCGUGUAGCAGUGAAAUGCGUAGAUAUGCGGAGGAACACCGAUGGCGAAGGCAGCCUCCUGGGAUAACACUGACGCUCAUGCACGAAAGCGUGGGGAGCAAACAGG
rnacentral:rRNA from 1 species